rnacentral:rRNA from 1 species
CCUACGGGAGGCAGCAGUGGGGGAUAUUGCACAAUGGGGGAAACCCUGAUGCAGCGACGCCGCGUGUGGGAAGACGGCCCUCUGGAUUGUAAACCACUGUCCCCAGGGACGAAGAUGACGGUACCUGGGGAGGAAGCUCCGGCUAACUACGUGCCAGCAGCCGCGGUAAUACGUAGGGAGCGAGCGUUGUCCGGAAUUCCUGGGUGUAUAGGGAGCAUAGGCGGGGAUGCAAGUUGGGGGUAAAAACUACCGGUUCAACUGGUAGUCGCACUCAAAACUGCAGCUCUUGAGUGAAGUAGAGGCAGGCGGAAUUCCUAGUGUAGCGGUGAAAUGCGUAGAUAUUAGGAGGAACACCAGUGGCGAAGGCGGCCUGCUGGGCUUUUACUGACGCUGAGGCUCGAAAGUGUGGGGAGCAAACAGGAUUAGAUACCCCAGUAGUC